rnacentral:rRNA from 1 species
UCUGUAGGCGGUGUGGCAAGUCGGAAGUGAAAUCCUGGGGCUUAACUCCAGGGCUGCUCCCGAAACUGCCACGCUUGAGUGCGGGAGAGGGGAGUGGAAUUGCCGGUGUAGCGGUGAAAUGCGUAGAUAUCGGCAGGAACACCGGAGGCGAAGGCGGCUCCCUGGACCGCAACUGACGCUGAGAGACGAAAGCUGGGGGAGCAAACA